AACGCUAGCUACAGGCUUAACACAUGCAAGUCGAGGGGUAGCAGGGUAGCAAUACCGCUGACGACCGGCGCACGGGUGAGUAACACGUAUCCAACCUACCGUUUACUCGGGGAUAGCCUUUCGAAAGAAAGAUUAAUACCCGAUAGUAUAAAGAGUUCGCAUGUUCUCUUUAUUAAAGGAUUCCGGUAAAUGAUGGGGAUGCGUUCCAUUAGAUUGUUGGCGGGGUAACGGCCCACCAAGUCUUCGAUGGAUAGGGGUUCUGAGAGGAAGGUCCCCCACAUUGGAACUGAGACACGGUCCAAACUCCUACGGGAGGCAGCAGUGAGGAAUAUUGGUCAAUGGGCGCUAGCCUGAACCAGCCAAGUAGCGUGAAGGAUGACUGCCCUAUGGGUUGUAAACUUCUUUUAUAAGGGAAUAAAAUGGGGAACGUGUUCCCCUUUGCAUGUACCUUACGAAUAAGGAUCGGCUAACUCCGUGCCAGCAGCCGCGGUAAUACGGAGGAUCCGAGCGUUAUCCGGAUUUAUUGGGUUUAAAGGGUGCGUAGGCGGAAUGAUCAGUCAGUUGUGAAAGUUUGAGGCUCAACCUUAAAAUUGCAGUUGAUACUGUCAUUCUUGAGUGUACAAGAGGUGGGCGGAAUUCGUGGUGUAGCGGUGAAAUGCUUAGAUAUCACGAAGAACUCCGAUUGCGAAGGCAGCUCACUGGGGUACAACUGACGCUGAGGCACGAAAGUGUGGGUAUCAAACAGGAUUAGAUACCCUGGUAGUCCACACAGUAAACGAUGAAUACUCGCUGUUUGCGAUAUACAGUAAGCGGCUAAGCGAAAGCGUUAAGUAUUCCACCUGGGGAGUACGCCGGCAACGGUGAAACUCAAAGGAAUUGACGGGGGCCCGCACAAGCGGAGGAACAUGUGGUUUAAUUCGAUGAUACGCGAGGAACCUUACCCGGGCUUGAAUCGCAGUGGAAUAUAUUAGAAAUAGUAUAGCCGUAAGGCCGCUGUGAAGGUGCUGCAUGGUUGUCGUCAGCUCGUGCCGUGAGGUGUCGGCUUAAGUGC
rnacentral:rRNA from 1 species